UGAAGCGUUCUUGCUAAACUGGCUUAGCAGGGUUCUUGCUAAAACUGGAUUUUAUAAGGAAGUGCACAGAAGGACCUAAGAUAAGGUUUAGGAGCAUGACCACAGUUUGGUCAAGCAAAGAAAUUCUGUCGGUUCUGGCAGGGGAUAAGAGGCUCCAUGAGAAUGUUUUUCUGCUUCCUGUCUACACAUCAGGCAGAGAGAUGGAGGACAGAUGGCCACACCACUCCCUUCACCAGUGGAUACACCAUGUACAUUACUGGCUGUACAGGUCACAUGGCCCAGGAGAAGUUGGAAAGGAACACACCAAAUAUGACACUCUAACACCUUGAAAACUCCAGCUCCCAGUUGGGUGCAGUGGCUCAUGCCUGUAAACUCAGCACUUUCGGAGGCCAAGGCAGGAGGAUCAUUGGAGGUCAAGAGUUGGAGACCAGCCUGGGCAACAUGGCAAGAACCUGUCUACCAAAAACACACACACACAAAAAAGCCGGAUGUGGUAACACAUGCCUGUAGUCUCAGCUACUCGGGAGGCUGAGGCGGGAGGAUUGCUUGAGCCUGGGAGGUGCAGGCUGCAGUGAGCUGAGAUCACACCACUGCCUUCCAGCCUAGGUGACAAAAUGAGACCUUCUCUCAAAUUAAAAAAAAAAAAAAACUCCAGCUCUCUGACGAUGAGCUAGCAUGUAUGCCCUGCCAACAUCCUUCAUUGUUAAAGAUGUUUAAAUCGUUGUGAAAACUGAACAUAUUGAAGAGGCAAAUUCUGCAUGCAAUUAAAAAAAAAACUUAUUACAUUGGUUGCAUUCGACUGUAAGGAAAGAGUUGCUGAGGUUGUGAAAAAGUUUACGCUUUCAAGGCUGUUUUCAUACAGUGUCAGUAAUUUGCAUGAUUAAAUGUAAUGGGUUUCUGGUAAUAUUCCUAUGGAGCAAAUAUGAAUACAACUUUGCAUUGCUAGUUAGGUUAAUCUUUUCUGGAUAUCCCCCGCAGAGAGCCAGAGGCAAGUGUGUUAAAAGCUCUUUCUAUGUAAGGAGGCAAUCUGAAUUCUGUGCAUCUCCUAAUGAUCUUCCAAAUGAAAUUGUAUUCUUAGCCUUUAAAUGGGUUUUGUGUUUUUGUCAGUCCCCUGUAUCAUAGAGGUAAAUUUGGCUCAUGCUCUAAAAUAAUCACAGUCAUGGGAUUUAAAAAAGAGACAUGCUUUAAUACACUUUGAU
rnacentral:lncRNA from 10 species